rnacentral:rRNA from 1 species
GACGAACGCUGGCGGCGUGCUUAACACAUGCAAGUCGAGCGGUAAGGCCCUUUCGGGGGUACACGAGCGGCGAACGGGUGAGUAACACGUGGGUGACCUGCCCUCAGCUCUGGGAUAAGCCUGGGAAACUGGGUCUAAUACCGGAUAUGACCCCAUGACGCAUGUCGUGGGGUGGAAAGCCUUGUGCGGCUGAGGAUGGGCCCGCGGCCUAUCAGCUUGUUGGUGGGGUGAUGGCCUACCAAGGCGACGACGGGUAGCCGGCCUGAGAGGGCGACCGGCCACACUGGGACUGAGACUACGGCCCAGACUCCUACGGGAGGCAGCAGUGGGGAAUCUUGCGCAAUGGGCGAAAGCCUGACGCAGCGACGCCGCGUGAGGGAUGACGGCCUGGUGUAACUCUU